CCACUGAGUCGAAAAAGGAACAGAGCUAGUCCGGGGCAACCCUCCGGCUCUCCAAGUUGUUCCAGGGGGACUACUUAGCUUCCACGCCCCUCUAUGCCGCCAUCUUAGAUCCUCCAAAUCUGUGAAACUUUUAAAUCACAAGAACAUACAAGCAUACAUCCCAUGAACUGUCAGAGAGCUGGAAAUCAUUUGGCAACAUGUCUUAGUGGAAUGGGCUGAACCUCCUACAUCUUCUCUGUUCAUGAGCUCCUGAUGGUAGCUUGAGGGAAAAAGCCCUCACUCGUUAGUCCAGAGGGUCUCCACCAACCCCAUCUUGAAUCUCUUUCUGCUUAAAAUGUCUAGAGUGGUUUUGGUUGCCUGCUCUGAAUCCUAAAUACUUUCGCCUCAGGCUUUUUGUGCUUUAUCAACACUUGUGAGAGUUGUUCGUGUUGAUACUUGUAGCUCUGGCGUAUUUCCCAUAACUGCUGUGUAAUUUCCCGGCCCAUUCAUCAGUAAAACAGCCAACCAGUCAACAACCAAUCAAUGAAUCCUCAAACCAGUCAACAAACUAACAAACCAGUCAAGGAGCCAAUGAACCAGGCAACCAACUAUCAACAAACCAGUGAACUAGUCAACCAUCCAUCCAACCAACCAACCAAUGAACUAGUCAACCAACCAACCAAGGAACAAGUCAACCAACUCAUCAACCAACUAAGGAAACAGUCAACCAAUCCACCAAGGAACCACUCAACCAUCCAACCAUCCAACCAGUCAACAACCAACCAAUGAGUGGACCAAACAUUUCUUCAACCAUUCCAACAUUCUCUUUACUGAUUAUACCAGUGGUUUCUCUGAUGCAUUCUCUAGUUUUGUUCUUAAAAUACAAACUAGAUCACAUCACACACAUAUACACACAUGCACACACACACCUUAUUUCAUCUUUAAUUCAUUAAUUAUUGAAAACCCACUAUGUGCCAAGCAUUUGGGAUACGGUAAUGAAUAAAAUAAUUGCUGCCUCAAAGACUCUGCAUACUCUCUUCCCACCAUCUGAAAUGUUGUUCCCUUUUCAUAGCUCAUUCCUUCAUAUCCCUUAGGUCUCAGCCUAAAUAUUACCUACUUGGAGAAGGCUUCUUGGCUAAAUUAGGUCCCCUUUGUCAUUUUCUAGCUUGAUUGCUAAGGGUCUCCCACUUAUCCUUCUCACAAUGGGUUCCUCAAGCCCCACCCCAUUUAACUUGUCUCUUACCCGUCUCCCCACUAGAAUGUGAGCCCCAGGAAGGCAGGAAUCACACUAGUCUUUGUUCCCAGCUGACUACCCAGUACCUAAGACACUGCCUGGCACAUUGA